rnacentral:rRNA from 1 species
GAUGAACGCUGGCGGCGUGCCUAAUACAUGCAAGUCGAGCGAACAGACGAGGAGCUUGCUCCUCUGACGUUAGCGGCGGACGGGUGAGUAACACGUGGAUAACCUACCUAUAAGACUGGGAUAACUUCGGGAAACCGGAGCUAAUACCGGAUAAUAUAUUGAACCGCAUGGUUCAAUAGUGAAAGACGGUUUUGCUGUCACUUAUAGAUGGAUCCGCGCCGCAUUAGCUAGUUGGUAAGGUAACGGCUUACCAAGGCAACGAUGCGUAGCCGACCUGAGAGGGGGAACGGCCACACAGGAACUGAGACACGGUCCAGACUCCGACGGGAGGCAGCAGUAGGGAAUGUUCCGCAAUGGGCGAAAGCCUGACGGAGCAACGCCGCGUGAGUGAUGAAGGUCUUCGGAUCGUAAACUCUGUUAUUAGGGAAGAACAAAUGUGUAAGUAACUAUGCACGUCUUGACGGUACCUAAUCAGAAAGCCACGGCUAACUACGUG